UGCAGAGCCCCUUUGGCACACCUGAUGGUU
rnacentral:piRNA from 1 species